rnacentral:rRNA from 1 species
UCAUGGCUCAGGAUGAACGCUAGCGGCAGGCCUAACACAUGCAAGUCGAGGGGCAGCGGGGAAAAGCUUGCUUUUCCGCCGGCGACCGGCGCACGGGUGCGCAACGCGUAUAGAAUCUGCCCCUUACCGGGGAAUAGCCCAGGGAAACUUGGAUUAAUGCCCCAUGGUAUAUGUUGACGGCAUCGUUUUCAUAUUAAAGGUUACGGUAAGGGAUGACUAUGCGUCCCAUUAGUUAGUUGGUAAGGUAACGGCUUACCAAGGCAGCGAUGGGUAGGGGCCCUGAGAGGGGGAUCCCCCACACUGGUACUGAGACACGGACCAGACUCCUACGGGAGGCAGCAGUGAGGAAUAUUGGACAAUGGGCGAAAGCCUGAUCCAGCCAUGCCGCGUGCAGGAAGACGGCCCUAUGGGUUGUAAACUGCUUUUGUACGGGAAGAAACCCGCCCACGUGUGGGCGAUUGACGGUACCGUAAGAAUAAGGACCGGCUAACUCCGUGCCAGCAGCCGCGGUAAUACGGAGGGUCCGAGCGUUAUCCGGAAUUAUUGGGUUUAAAGGGUCCGUAGGCGGGCCGUUAAGUCAGGGGUGAAAUGCUGCGGCUCAACCGUAGCACUGCCUUUGAUACUGGCGGUCUUGAGUUAUGGUGAAGUUGCCGGAAUAUGUGGUGUAGCGGUGAAAUGCAUAGAGAUCACAUAGAACACCGAUUGCGAAGGCAGGUGACUAACCAUAUACUGACGCUGAUGGACGAAAGCGUGGGGAGCGAACGGGAUUAGAUACCCCGGUAGUCCACGCCGUAAACGAUGGAUACUAGCUGUCCGGUACCUUGAGUACUGGGCGGCCAAGCGAAAGUGAUAAGUAUCCCACCUU